rnacentral:lncRNA from 1 species
UGGCAAAGCACCAGGACUAGCAAAAUUAGGAUGCUGUUCCCACCUCUCAGCCUGACUGGCAAGGGAGAAAUUAUUGGAAUUCAAGAGCCAUAUAGCCCAGGAAGAGGGGCCACUCACGGAUGCUGUGGCCUUAGAUGUAGAAAUACAGCCACUGUCAAACCACAGCCUGGCAGGAGGGACCCCGGGGAAUAAAUAUUGAUUUCUCUCUCUUCCCACCUUCUGAUCGCCUGCAAGUGCCUCCUGUUGGUCCACCCUACUGGAAGUCUGAGCUGGGCAGAGAAGCACCAAAAGUGGAGCUGGAGGAGCAAACAGAAUAUCCAGCACACUGCAGAAAGCUGAGAUUGGUAUUCUUCUACCGCAUGGCUACUCCUGCCACCAAGGGGAACACAGAGUAAAGUGACAACACUAAUUCAGAAGCACGGGAAAGAUGAAAUUAUUUUUGAUGGAGAGAGCAUUUAGUUUCUCAGAGAGAAGACAGGACAUCAUUCCUCACUUUUGUGAUGGCUCCAUCAUGGUGACCAGGGAUUAGAAAAUAACCGCAAAGAGGCUCUGGAGAAUUUGGGAAGG